CUCGGCAUCCUACACAGUCUGGCGCGCCUGUUGACAGCAGCUGUCAGGCCCCCGUGCAGGCCCCGCCCCCGGCCGUCUCGCGCAGAAUCUCGCGAGGUUUGAGGGCGCUGGGCCGGACCGGGUGGCUGCAAUAUGGCGGAGGCGGAAGGGGAGAGCCUGGAGUCCUGGCUGAAUAAAGCUACCAACCCUUCCAACCGCCAGGAAGAUUGGGAAUAUAUCAUUGGCUUCUGUGAUCAGAUCAACAAAGAGCUUGAAGGGCCCCAGAUUGCUGUCCGACUCCUGGCCCACAAGAUCCAGUCUCCACAGGAAUGGGAGGCGGUCCAGGCCCUCACGGUGCUGGAGGCAUGUAUGAAGAACUGUGGGAGGAGAUUUCAUAAUGAAGUGGGGAAGUUCCGGUUUCUGAAUGAAUUAAUUAAAGUCGUCUCUCCGAAGUACUUGGGAGACAGGGUGUCUGAAAAGGUGAAGACUAAGGUCAUCGAGUUGCUUUUUAGCUGGACGCUGGCCUUGCCGGAAGAAGCAAAGAUCAAAGAUGCCUACCAUAUGUUGAAGAGACAAGGCAUAGUGCAGUCGGACCCCCCUAUUCCCAUGGAUAGAACGCUGAUCCCCUCUCCCCCACCUCGACCCAAAAACCCUGUUUUUGAUGAUGAGGAGAAAUCCAAGCUUUUAGCCAAGCUACUGAAAAGCAAGAACCCAGAAGACCUGCAAGAAGCCAACAAACUCAUCAAGUCCAUGGUGAAGGAAGAUGAGGCGCGCAUCCAGAAGGUCACCAAGCGCCUGCACACGCUGGAGGAGGUUAACAACAACGUGAAGCUGCUCCAUGAGAUGCUGCUUCACUACAGCCAGGAGUACUCCUCGGAGGCUGACAAAGAGCUCAUGAAGGAGCUCUUUGAUCGGUGUGAGAACAAGAGACGUACUUUAUUUAAACUAGCCAGUGAGACAGAAGACAAUGACAACAGUUUGGGGGACAUCCUGCAGGCCAGUGACAACCUCUCCAGGGUCAUCAACUCUUAUAAAGCAAUUAUUGAAGGGCAGAUCAUCAACGGUGAGGUGACCACCUCAACCAUGCCUGACUCUGAAGGCAAUGAUCACUGCAGUAACCAAGGCACCCUCAUCGACCUUGCUGAAUUGGACACCCCCAGCAGCUCAUCCUCAGUGUCGGCCCCAGCAUCUGCUCCACCCGCCUCAGGCAUUCCUAUCCUCCCUCCACCACCCCAGACCUCUGGACCUCCACGAAGCCGCUCAUCCAGUCAGGCUGAGGCUCCCCCAGGGCCUGACAGCAUGAGCAAUGCCCUAUCCUUGCUAGAUGAGGAGCUGCUCUGCUUGGGCCUGACUGACCCAGCCCCCACUGCUCCCAAAGAGUCAACUGGAAAUAGUCAGUGGCACCUGUUCCAGAAUGAACCAUCAUCAGAUCUGGACUUUUUCAGCCCCAGGCCAAUGCCUGCGGCCUGCUGUCCCUCAGAUGGAUCCCUGCUCCCUCCCCCAGUUUCUACCUCAAGUAUGUCCCAAGCUCCACUGCCUGCUCCCUUCCCAGCUCCUGUGGUCCCAGCCAGUGCACCAGCUCCCAGCCCAGGUUCCUUCAUGUUCUCUUCUGGACCUGCCUCAGCCUCGGUUCCAAAGGCUGAGCCUGCAGCCCCAGAGUACCACAGCUCAGCACUUGGUGACAGCACCUCGCACCACCUAGAUGCCCUUGAUCAGCUUCUGGAAGAGGCCAAAGUGACUUCAGGCUUGGUGAAACCUGUUUCUUGCUUCUCCUCUGGGGCCACUGCCUCCCCAUUGCUUCCCACCUCUGCCCCAGCCAGGCCUCUCCUGCCCUUCUCCACUGGGCCUGGAAGCCCUCUCUUCCAGUCGCCAGCCUUUCAAUCCCAAGGCAGCCCUCUGAGAGGCCCAGAGCUCUCCCUGGCCAAUGUCUAUGUACCCCUGGAAUCGAUCAAGCCUAGCAGUGCCCUUCCUGUGACAGCCUAUGAUAAAAAUGGCUUCCGAAUCCUCUUCCACUUUGCUAAGGAGUGUCCCCCAGGACGGCCUGAUGUGCUUGUGGUGGUGGUGUCCAUGCUGAAUACAGCUCCUCUGCCAGUCAAGAGCAUAGUGCUGCAAGCCGCAGUGCCCAAGUCAAUGAAAGUGAAGUUGCAGCCACCCUCUGGGACAGAACUUUCUCCAUUUAGUCCCAUCCAGCCACCAGCAGCCAUCACCCAGGUCAUGCUGCUGGCCAAUCCAAUGAAGGAGAAGGUGCGGCUUCGGUAUAAACUGACCUUUGCUCUGGGGGAGCAGCUGAGCACAGAGCUGGGUGAAGUGGACCAGUUUCCUCCUGUGGAGCAGUGGGGUAACCUAUGACCCUAGCAAAUGCUGUCAUCUCCACUUGGAAGCAGGCAGCCCUGAGACAGGCUCUGGCGGGUCCAGCCACUGUACCCUCUGGGCAGUGCUUACAGCUUGGUGUGGACCAGGGUCCUGGGUGUCCCUGUCGGAGCCAAGCUGCUGCUUUGAUCAUCUCUUCUGGGCCCCUAAAUGGACCUGUUUUACCUACCUGUGUGACUUGAAGUGACCGUACUGUGUGGGUGGGGAGUCGCUUGUGGCUUCACUGGCUGCCUUGGGGUGGUAGACUCUGGACGUGGAGUAGGUUUUCCCCUUUUUUACUGGCAUCCCUUGAUACCAGGGAGAGGACUCUUAAAGAGCACCUCUCCAAUCCCCUCAAGAACUGCAUCUUUACACCCUGAAGAGGCGUGGGUUGGGAGACUAUAUCUCCCAUUGGCGUUCCAUGCUUCUUUACUAACAAGCACUGCUGCUGCCCUGAAGUGGGCAGCAGUGGCCCAGAGUGAGAAAUCUGGAGUACUGUGGUCUUCACUGUGGGCUUCGGCAACAGCACCCGGAAGUGGCUGCUGAGUGAGUGAUGUGCUUGUCCUGGCAGUGGAAGGUUGUGUCCUAUGGACAUGUCAGCAGGACAGGGAACUUGGCCCGAGAGCCUCAACUAGGGAUAGGAAGGAAGAUGGAAGUGCCAGUGUUUCCCCUCACAAGCAGUGCUGUGCCUCAGCUAGCAAGACCCAGCUGCUCCAGGCCAGAGAUUUUCAAGACUACAGGGAAGUCUGCUGCCUUCGAGAAAAAGGAAGGUGACACAACUGUAUCCCCUGGUCCCCUACAUCUUGGGAGCAUCCUUGCUCUGGCUAGAGGUCGUCUGACCGCCCUCCCAGCUACUGUCCUUAGUUAGCAGGUUUUACAGUUUUCCUUAGGACAGGUCAAAAUCUUCUCACUGAUGAUGGAAUAAAUCCAAGAGCUUUCCAGAAACUGGUUACUUCAGCCUUGGAAUAGCUAUGGAAUAGCUAUUACUGUCAAUGCAUACCUUCAUUAAUCUUUAAACACGAAAUUAUGAGUGUUGCUCAUUACUGAGGUCACCUACUUAAUGGCCAACAGCUGUACUGGAUGUACCACCCUCCUGCCCUUGUUUUGCUGCAUGUGAAAUAAAACUAUUUUAACCCUG